CCCUUAGAUGUCCUGGGCCGCACGCGCGUUACACUGAUGUAUUCAACGAGCUUAUAACCUUGGCCGAGAGGCCUGGGCAAUCUUGCUAACGUGCAUCGUGAUAGGGAUAGAUUAUUGAAAUUAUUAAUCUUGAACGAGGAAUUCCUAGUAAACGCAGAUCAUCAAUCUGCAUUGAUUACGUCCCUGCCCUUUGUACACACCGCCCGUCGCACCUACCGAUUGGAUGGUCCGGUGAAGCCUCGGGAUUGUGGUUCUUGCCGCUUUAUUGUGGCGUGACCGCGAGAACUUGUCUAAACCUUAUCAUCUAGAGGAAGGUGAAGUCGUAACA
rnacentral:rRNA from 1 species